rnacentral:lncRNA from 1 species
AUGCUGUACACAACCGCACACCGAGAUGUUGGCACAAACGUGUUGUCACACAAAUACAUGGGAUACAGCAUACCAAACACGGACAAUCGGACACAGUUCAGUUCAGUAAGACUUUACACUCCUGCGGCAUCACACGCAACAACAGAUUCACCCGCUGCACACAUGCAACAUGCACACCCUCGCCAACACACCCAGACACACACUAAUUCACAAACACACCCUUGUAGGCCCGUACCAUACACAAACUUCCUAAUACUCUCUAUACACAGACACUCAACACCUCUACCCCUAUAUUACCUCUACACUGCGUACACUCACACUCCAAAUACACAAACACACACUGAUUCCUAUGCUCUACACCUGCACAUACACACACUUCACAUACAAACAACAACAUACCUACGCUGUACAUACCAGCACAUCAGAACAUAUGUUCACAAGCAUCCAUACCUGUAGGGUACACACCCAGACACCAGACACUGACAAACACACACCCAUCCAUCACAUGCACACACAAACGUAUUCAUUGUACAAACACUCGCAAACACACUCACCCUACUUGCAAGCAUACCAACUGAAUACGCAAAUGCACUUAUUCACACGCACACCGUACAAACACACAUAGGUACACUCAUUCACUCAUGUUCUACAUACACAAAUACACUCACCGUUACACAAAUAUACUCCUGUUUGCAUGCCCAUUGUACAAACAAGGCCACACAUUCACCAACACACCCUUACAUGGUACACACCCAAAUACAGCCUCACUCUCACACACCCCCAAAUGCACACCUGUUCACCUGCACACUGUACAAAGGCACACUUAUCCUGUCAGCCACUCACAAGCACACCCACGGCACAUGCACACUCACAUUGUACACGCCCACGCUACACCCACAAACGCACACUCAUUCACAAACCCACCCACGGUACACACGCAAAUCCAUACUCGUUCACAUCCGCUGCAGAAACACACACACACAAAGGCGCAUCCACGAACACACGCUCACAAGCGCAGCCUGCACGCACGUACACAUGCUCCCCCCCCCCGGAGACACACACACACGCACGCCUGACACAGACUGAGCACUCACUAGCCGACUGAACUGUUUUUGCACUAGGACAGCCUCACACUGGGGUGAAUUUCAAACAUGUUGAACAAAACCCGUCUGCAAUUCCCCAUCCCUUACAUCUGGAAUAUCUUAAACUCCUCUCUCU